rnacentral:rRNA from 1 species
AUUGAACGCUGGCGGCAUGCCUUACACAUGCAAGUCGAACGGCAGCACGGGAGCAAUCCUGGUGGCGAGUGGCGAACGGGUGAGUAACGCAUCGGAACGUGCCCAGUCGUGGGGGAUAGCCCGGCGAAAGCCGGAUUAAUACCGCAUACGACCCAUGGGUGAAAGCGGGGGACCUUCGGGCCUCGCGCGAUUGGAGCGGCCGAUGUCAGAUUAGGUAGUUGGUGGGGUAAAGGCCUACCAAGCCGACGAUCUGUAGCUGGUCUGCGAGGACGACCAGCCACACUGGGACUGAGACACGGCCCAGACUCCUACGGGAGGCAGCAGUGGGGAAUUUUGGACAAUGGGCGCAAGCCUGAUCCAGCCAUGCCGCGUGCGGGAAGAAGGCCUUCGGGUUGUAAACCGCUUUUGUCGGGGAAGAAAUACGCCGGGCUAACAUCCUGGCGGGAUGACGGUACCCGAAGAAUAAGCACCGGCUAACUACGUGCCAGCCGCCGCGGUAAAAC